CCUACGGGCCGCACCAGUGGGGAAUAUUGCACAAUGGGCGCAAGCCUGAUGCAGCCAUGCCGCGUGUAUGAAGAAGGCCUUCGGGUUGUAAAGUACUUUCGGCGGGAGGAAGGCGAUAAGGUUAAUAACCUUGUCGAUUGACGUUACCCGCAGAAGAAGCACCGGCUUACUCCGUGCCAGCAGCCGCGGUAAUACGGAGGGUGCAAGCGUUAAUCGGAAUUACUGGGCGUAAAGCGCACGCAGGCAGUCUGUCAAGUCGGAUGUGAAAUCCCCGGGCUCAACCUGGGAACUGCAUUCGAAACUGGCAGGCUGGAGUCUUGUAGAGGGGGGUAGAAUUCCAGGUGUAGCGGUGAAAUGCGUAGAGAUCUGGAGGAAUACCGGUGGCGAAGGCGGCCCCCUGGACAAAGACUGACGCUCAGGUGCGAAAGCGUGGGGAGCAAACAGGAUUAGAUACCCUCGUAGUC
rnacentral:rRNA from 1 species